rnacentral:rRNA from 1 species
GACGAACGCUGGCGGCAUGCCUAACACAUGCAAGUCGAACGAAGCCUUCGGGCUUAGUGGCGCACGGGUGCGUAACGAGGGGGAAUCUGCCCGUUGCUUCGGAAUAACAGAUAGAAAUGAAUGCUAAUACCGGAGGAAGUCUUCGGACAAAAGAGUUAUCGGUAAGGGAUGAGCGCGUGUAGGUUUAGGUAGUUGGUGGGGUACUGGCCUACCAAGACGAGGAUGCUUAGCUGGUCGGAGAGGAUGAUCAGCAGGACUUGAGCUGAGGCCCGGCCCAGUAUGGGACGGAGGGGUGCAGUAGGUUGUAUUAUAGGAGGAAGGCUGGUCUGGUCCAGCAAUGCCGCGUGAGAGAUGAAGGCCUUAGGGUUGUAAUGCUCUUUGACCAGGGGUGUGAAUGACAGUACCUGGUGAAUAAGCACCGGCUAACUCCGUG